GAUGAACGCUAGCUACAGGCUUAACACAUGCAAGUCGAGGGGCAGCAUCAUCAAAGCUUGCUUUGAUGGAUGGCGACCGGCGCACGGGUGAGUAACACGUAUCCAACCUGCCGACAACACUGGGAUAGCCUUUCGAAAGAAAGAUUAAUACCGGAUGGUAUAGUUUUCCCGCAUGGAUGAUUAUUAAAGAAUUUCGGUUGUCGAUGGGGAUGCGUUCCAUUAGGCAGUUGGCGGGGUAACGGCCCACCAAACCUACGAUGGAUAGGGGUUCUGAGAGGAAGGUCCCCCACAUUGGAACUGAGACACGGUCCAAACUCCUACGGGAGGCAGCAGUGAGGAAUAUUGGUCAAUGGACGAGAGUCUGAACCAGCCAAGUAGCGUGAAGGAUGACUGCCCUAUGGGUUGUAAACUUCUUUUAUACGGGAAUAAAGUGAGCCACGUGUGGCUUUUUGUAUGUACCGUAUGAAUAAGGAUCGGCUAACUCCGUGCCAGCAGCCGCGGUAAUACGGAGGAUCCGAGCGUUAUCCGGAUUUAUUGGGUUUAAAGGGAGCGUAGGCGGGUUGUUAAGUCAGUUGUGAAAGUUUGCGGCUCAACCGUAAAAUUGCAGUUGAUACUGGCGACCUUGAGUGCAACAGAGGUAGGCGGAAUUCGUGGUGUAGCGGUGAAAUGCUUAGAUAUCACGAAGAACUCCGAUUGCGAAGGCAGCUUACUGGAUUGUAACUGACGCUGAUGCUCGAAAGUGUGGGUAUCAAACAGGAUUAGAUACCCUGGUAGUCCACACAGUAAACGAUGAAUACUCGCUGUUGGCGAUAUACAGUCAGCGGCCAAGCGAAAGCAUUAAGUAUUCCACCUGGGGAGUACGCCGGCAACGGUGAAACUCAAAGGAAUUGACGGGGGCCCGCACAAGCGGAGGAACAUGUGGUUUAAUUCGAUGAUACGCGAGGAACCUUACCCGGGCUUAAAUUGCAACUGACGGAACCGGAAACGGUUCUUUCUUCGGACAGUUGUGAAGGUGCUGCAUGGUUGUCGUCAGCUCGUGCCGUGAGGUGUCGGCUUAAGUGCCAUAACGAGCGCAACCCUUACGGGUAGUUACCAUCAGGUUAUGCUGGGGACUCUACCCGGACUGCCGUCGUAAGAUGUGAGGAAGGUGGGGAUGACGUCAAAUCAGCACGGCCCUUACGUCCGGGGCUACACACGUGUUACAAUGGGGGGUACAGAAGGCAGCUACACGGCGACGUGGUGCUAAUCCCAAAAGCCUCUCUCAGUUCGGAUUGGAGUCUGCAACCCGACUCCAUGAAGCUGGAUUCGCUAGUAAUCGCGCAUCAGCCACGGCGCGGUGAAUACGUUCCCGGGCCUUGUACACACCGCCCGUCAAGCCAUGAAAGCCGGGGGUACCUGAAGUACGUAACCGCGAGGAGCGUCCUAGGGUAAAACUGGUGAUUGGGGCU
rnacentral:rRNA from 1 species